rnacentral:lncRNA from 1 species
UUUUUUUAAAUCAAAUAUAAAAACUGAACAUUAGGUUAAUUGCUGUCAUUAGAGAAGAAAAACACAUAUGUAAGGUAUAAGAAAUUGAGUGGGUUAGGGUAUGUGAUCCAGUGGCAAAUAGUACAUGCAUAUCAGAUCAAGAACAUCUUAUUGCUGCAUGAAAAUUGAUAUAUAAAGAGCAAAUAAGUGUUGUAUUAUUAAUUUGCUGCCUACAAAAUAACAUUUAUAUUCACAAAAUAAUAAUAAAAAAAGACAACAG